CGAACCUUACCUGGAUUUGACAUCCCGAGAAGUCUUUCGAAAGAUAGAUGUGCCCUUCGGGGAACUCGGUGACAAGUGCUGCAUGGCUGUCCGUCAGCUCGUGUCGUGAGAUGUUGGGUUAAGUCCUGCAACGAGCGCAACCCCUAUCUUUAGUUACCAUCAAUUCGGUUGGGGACUCUAGAGAUACUGCCCCGGUUAACGGGGAGGAAGGUGGGGAUGACGUCAAGUCCUCAUGGCCUUUAUGUCCAGGGCUACACACGUGCUACAAUGGGCUGUACAAAGGGUCGCGAUCCCGCGAGGAUGAGCCAAUCCCAUAAAGCAGCUCUUAGUUCGGAUUGGAGUCUGCAACUCGACUCCACUAAGCUGGAAUCGCUAGUAAUCGCGGAUCAGCAUGCCGCGGUGAAUACGUUCCCGGGCCUUGUACACACCGCCCGUCACACCAUGAGA
rnacentral:rRNA from 1 species